AUGGUGGGGGAGGACUAAGCCCUAUGAUGAAGCCAAUGCCCAGGUCGGGAGACCUUAUUUUUCAGGUUCCAGGAGAUGUUUAAAGAUCCAAGACUUUUUCCCCAAGGACUUUUAUAUACUUUGAAAUUAAAUGAUGAUAUGUGAAUUUAAUACAGGAUACAUUGAGGGGAACCAUGCACACUUGUGAGUCUAGCCAUCCUCACAGUUCCCCCGCAUUUCACAAAGCAUAGAAGAGAGACAUCUGAUCCAUCCAAUUAUCAGAACUUGGGUCAAGAAUGCGAUUCUGACUUGAAUCUACUUUCCAAAACGGAAAUUGUAUUAUUAGCUGCCUCUUUUGUGGGUAUUGUCUAACCUAUGACUAAGGGAUAACUCCCGAAACGCGUUUUUCCAGCAGGAACUCCAAUAAACCCCAUUUUCAGAAGUGCCAUCUGCCUUUCAAGUCUUUGUAGUGUUUAUAGUGGGGACACUGUAUGACUGAGCACCUGACCUGAGGGGAGAGCGGUGAGCAUGUGCGGUCCUUUUUCGCUUUUCUACCUAUUGUUUAAACAUAACCAUGGGUGCCAGGACUUCAAAGGUAUGUGCUGUUUUAAUCUCUCCAUUCUUCAUCAGUUCACAGGCAACCUGAAGUCCUGCGUACCCUAGUGGACAAUAUUAAACAGCACACUGAUGAGGGAUGGGGGGCAUGGCUUACUAGUUGGUUCCCUGAUAUCGGAGGGUGGGUGAAAACUAUGGUAGAGGCUAUUGCUCUUGUUCUUUUUUUUUUCCUUCUUAUAAAAUGUGUCCCUUCAUUAAUUAUGUGUUUUAGAUCAAGUUGUCCCAAGUCACUAUUUAGAAGUUAUCACUUUGUGAUAAAAGGAGGGAUUGUGGAAUAGGCCUAAAUAUUGUUUAAUGUAAAACCAGACUUU